UGCUUGCGUUAAACGUAUAAACUGUUAAAUUAGAUGGCGACUCUGCAUUAAACGUAUUUAUUUAAUUAAUCGGCGAUCGUAUUUCACCAGAGGACUAAGAUAAAACAACUCGAUUUAAAAUAUGAGCAGUUUUAGUGGAUCUGACGUCGAGGGAAAAAGUAUUUCGCUUUUUGUUUGGAGAUGAACGAGACAACACGAGGCACAGCGACAUAAAUAUGACCAACCAGAUCCCAAGUAGACAGGAACAAAUGAAGAUACAGCGCAUAGAAAGACUUAUUCUUGGUGAUCAACUGCUAUUGACAUUUUUGAAUUGGGACAAUUGUGGAGUGAUUCGGAAGAAAAACGUUUGCAACACAUCCAUUCCAGGAGCACAGUGGCCCCCAACUGAAAAUUUUAGGGGCGCAACCAGAAAAUUAAGGGGCACACACGAGUGCUCUGACAGAUACAACUGACACGCUUGAUGAGGACACAGUCAAAGCUUUAAAAGACUGUGUGAUAAAGCAGUCUUCAAUUACUACGGUGUCUGAAUUGCAAGAAGUGACCCUCCACUUAAACAUGUGACAUCUAAACUGUUUUGUGUUUUAGUUCAGCUUUUUAUAGGUUUAUCUUAAGUUGGUUAAAGGCGGAGUGCACUAUUUUUGAAAGCCAAUGUUAACAUUUGAAAUUACCUAAACAAACAUGCCUCUACCCCAAUAGAAUCGGGACCUUCUUUUGAUAGAGCCACCACACACAUACGCAACCCCGGCAAGGAUGUCAGUUAGUAGACACGCCCCUUACUGCUGGUUGGCUACAAGUGUGUUUUGGUAGUCGGCCCAAUUUCCUUUUCCAAAGCGUUUU